GCAUUGGUGGUUUACUGGUAGAAUUCUUCUCUUCCAUGGGGGAGAUCUGGGUUCAAUUCCCAGCGAAUGCA
rnacentral:tRNA from 1 species